rnacentral:lncRNA from 1 species
UGCCAAAGGAGAUUAACAUUUGAGUCAGUGGACUGGGAGAGGCAGAACCACCCUCAAUCUGUGUGGGCACCAUCUAAUCAGCUGCCAGCUCGGCUACAAUAAAGCAGGCAGGAGAAGAUGGAAGAGCAGACUUGCUGAGUCUUCUGGCCUUCAUCUUUCUCCUGUGCUGGAUGCUUUCUGCCCUCAAACAUCAGACUCCGUGUUCUUCAGCUUUCGGACUCUUGGACUCAUGCCAGUGAUUUGCCCAAGGCUCUUGGGCCUUCGACAACAGACUGAAGGCUGCGCUGUCGGCUUCCCUACUUUUGAGAUUUUAGGACUUGGACUGGCUUUCUUGCUCCUCAGCUUGCAGACGGCCUAUUUUGGGACUUCGCUUGUGAUUGUAAUGUCAUACAACUGGAAUCAUAUAAAAUGCAGCCUAUUCAGACCAACUUCUUUCAGGUACGGGAAAAAAUUUUCCCAGAGAGGAAGAAAACACUCCCAAUGUAACCAAAGUCGCAGAAGCAUAUUGCCAACUUGGAAGACACUUGCUAUUUCUGGAGUCAUGGCUUUAUAAUGCAACAUUUCCAAGUCUUGUUAAACCACUAGACUGGGGUUGUAUCAAUUAGAAUACUCUCCAUUCAUUCAGCAGCACUAUCUUCUUGAAACUCAAAAGUUGGAAACCAGAGACUAUACCAGCUGAGUUGAUUCUCUUCUAUGAUUGCAACAGUUCCUGGAGUUAUAGAAAGUUUUCCCAUGUAAAUAAAAAGAGAUUAGAGUACUUAGUUUCAAAACAAAUAUUAUAUACACCUGUUCUCUUAUACUUUCUUGUUACCCUUUCCUCACACCUUUUUAAAAUGAAUUAUUUAAUUUCAUUAAAUAGUGAAAUUUAGAGUAGGAAAGGGUUCUAAAAGUCAGUUACCUGACUUCUCUUUCAUCUCUUUAAUUCCCGUAACCUCAUGCCAAAUACUUCAUCUUCCAAGAUGGGUUUUGAUAUAUGAGAGAGGUUUGCUACCUCAAAGGCAGCCAUUUUUUUUUGUUGUUGUUGUUGUUUGUUUGUUUCUGUUUAUUUUUUUUGAGAUAGAGUCUUACUCUGUCUCCCAGGCUGGAGUGCAAUGACACGAUCUGGGCUCACUGCAACCUCCGCCUCCCAGCUAUAAGCAAUUCUCCUGCCUCAGCCUCCUGAGUAGGUGGGAUUACAGGCGCCCACCACUAAACCCAGCUAAUUUUUGUGUUUUUAGUAGAGAUGGGGUUUCACCAUGUUGACCAGGCUAGUCUUGAACUCCUGACCUCAGGUGAUCUGCCCGCCUCAGCCUCCCAAAGUGCUGGGAUUACAGGCAUGAGCCACCGUGACCAGCCAAAAGCAGCCAUCUUUUAAUAGCUUUGCCCUUUAGAAAGUUCUUUCUUAUGAUGAGACAAGAAUAUCUCUCUACAUAAUUGCUACAUAUUAAUUGGAAUUUCUAUUCUGGGGUCACAUAAAACAAGUCUAAUCCAGCAUUCCUGGUUUCUGUGUUUAGCACUAUGUCCCCACUGCCUAGACCAGUAAUUAUUUAGAUUGUGCUCAUAUAAUUUGGCUAAAACCUGCUCAUUUGGAUUUUGGAAGGCCCCAUAGUUCUACAAUGGAUAUUUAAUUCAACCAUUGCCUCAUCAAAUGGAUUUUUCUUCUGAAGCUAUCAAAAACACAUAACUGAAAACAAAUGUUAUAAAUGAAUUACUUAACUGGUAGUGUUUCUUUUAUCUAUUGUUGGAUAACAAAUCAAACCAAAAUGUAGUGGGUUGAAACAGAGGAGGUACUCAACAAAUACUUGGUUAGAGAGAGAGAUAACAAUUAUUGAAUGCUUACAAUAUGUUAAACAUUGUAUUAACUUCCUUAGACAUUGUACAUUAUCUCAUUUGAAGGCAUUUAUCAAAUUUUUGCCUCUCUCUGUAGAAUUGCCCCUAUUCCUCUUCAAGACUAAAUAUCCACAGAUCAUCCAAGAGUUUCACAAUGAGACCUGGUUGUUAUGGAGUGAAUUGUAUACUUACAAAAUUCAUAUGUUGAAAUCCUAACCCUUGUAUCUCAGAAUGUGACCAUAUCUGGAGAUAGUGUCUUUAUAAAGAUAGUCCUGUUCAAAUAAGGUAUUUGGGGUGGGCCCUAAUCCUUAUAAAAACAGAAAAUGUGGACAGAGGAGACAGAUGGCAAAAAGGUGAUGUGAAGAAACACAGGGAGAAGAUGGUCAUCUACAAGCCAAGGAAAGAGGACUAGAAAAGAUCCCUCCCUCAUCGCCUCAGAAGGAACCAACAUCUUGAUUUUGGACUUCCAG